UACGGAAGGCAGCAGUGGGGAAUAUUGCACAAUGGGCGAAAGCCUGAUGCAGCUAUGCCGCGUGUAUGAAGAAGGCCUUAGGGUUGUAAAGUACUUUCAUCGGGGAGGAAAAAACAAAACUAAUAAUUUUAUUUCUUGACGUUACCCGAAAAAGAAGCACCGGCUAACUCCGUGCCAGCAGCCGCGGUAAUACGGAGGGUGCUAGCGUUAAUCAGAAUUACUGGGCGUAAAGAGCACGUAGGUGGUUUUUUUAAAGUCAGAUGUGAAAUCCCUGGGCUUAACCUAGGAACUGCAUUUUGAAACUGAAAUACUAGAGUAUCGUAGAGGGAGGUAGAAUUCUAGGUGUAGCGGUGAAAUGCGUAGAUAUCUGGAGGAAUACCUGUGGCGAAAGCGGCCUCCUAAACGAAUACUGACACUGAGGUGCGAAAGCGUGGGGAGCAAACAGGGAUUAGACUACC
rnacentral:rRNA from 1 species